ACAGAAAGUGCUUGCACUUUGCUGACGAGUGGCGGACGGGUGAGUAAUGCUUGGGAAUUUGCCUUUGUGUGGGGGAUAACAGUUGGAAACGACUGCUAAUACCGCAUGACGUCUACGGACCAAAGGGGCCUUCGGGUCUCGCGCAAAGAGAAGCCCAAGUGAGAUUAGUUAGUUGGUGGGGUAAUGGCUUACCAAGACGACGAUCUCUAGCUGUUCUGAGAGGAAGAUCAGCCACACUGGGACUGAGACACGGCCCAGACUCCUACGGGAGGCAGCAGUGGGGAAUAUUGCACAAUGGGGGGAACCCUGAUGCAGCCAUGCCGCGUGUGUGAAGAAGGCCUUCGGGUUGUAAAGCACUUUCAGUUGUGAGGAAAGGUUGAUGGUUAAUACCCAUCAGCUGUGACGUUAGCAACAGAAGAAGCACCGGCUAACUCCGUGCCAGCAGCCGCGGUAAUACGGAGGGUGCGAGCGUUAAUCGGAAUUACUGGGCGUAAAGCGCACGCAGGCGGUUAAGUCAGUCAGAUGUGAAAGCCCCGGGCUUAACCUGGGAAUUGCAUUUGAUACUGCUUGACUAGAGUUUUGAAGAGGGGAGUGGAAUUCCAGGUGUAGCGGUGAAAUGCGUAGAUAUCUGGAGGAACAUCAGUGGCGAAGGCGACUCCCUGGUCAAUAACUGACGCUCAUGUGCGAAAGUGUGGGUAGCGAACAGGAUUAGAUACCCUGGUAGUCCACACCGUAAACGCUGUCUACUAGCUGUUUGUGUGAUUUAUCACGUGGGUAGCGUAGCUAACGCGCUAAGUAGACC
rnacentral:rRNA from 1 species